UCGUGCCCCUCCCUCCUCACAGACCCCUCCCCCCUCUUUCUCACGUUCUUCCCCUCUCCCUCCCCUCCCAUGGCUUCCUACCUUUAAAUCCAAGCUCUCCAGCACCAAAUCCUUGGGAAAUACCAAAAUGGAACGAGGAGAGUGAGAGGAGCAUGGAGAGGUGUAUCUCCGAGGGUGGAUCCGCCCUUUUCCUUGCCUUUACGUUGACCUAGGGUUUGGGGAGAACCAAGGUGAUGUUGCUACGAGGCAUCUAUGCCAUGUCUACAUGGUCGGUGAAGGCAAGUGAACAUAGCGGUUGCGUUGCUACAACUUUAACAUUCUAUUUUUACUGCCUCCACUUAUAAAAUACAGCACACAUAUGUGAUAAUAUAACAAAAUGGGGCAUGACUCAUAAUGAUUGGGUGAAGUAUGAAAUGUUGUUGCUAAUAUAAAUCUAGAGGUAACGUGGCUUUUUACUUCAAGAUAGGUGGAUAGAUAAAUGUGGUGGUCUAUAUGUGACGGAUUUUAAAUUUAUGGCUGGGAUGAAAAUAUAUUUAUGCAUGACAUAUACUUAGUAAUUUAUGCUAUACAUGUUUUCCUUUGAGUAAAAUCUAUGAAAUCCUUAGCGGUUUACUAGUGGGUGGACUUGUUUUAGUAGAGGUAUGUUAACCUUGGUGUAUGAAAAUCUCUUUGGACGCCACUUUAUGUCUUCUAGUGCCAUCAUAUGUGGAUAAAUUGGAGUUUGGAUUACGAGCAAGGUUCAAAUAGUUUCUUACAAUUUUUUGGUAUAUGUGUUCAAAUAUAUAGAUUGAAUCUUUGGUUGAUUAGCUCUACUUAGUAAUAUUUUUUUAUAUGAUAGAUAUGUUUGGGGCUUGGAUUAUAAAAUUAUUCUUUUGUACAUUUAAAUUCAUAAUGGCUACAUGCUAUUCUAAUUCUGUUAAGACUAAGAAGAUCUAUAGAUAUAAUAGUGUGAACAAUUGUUUGGUUGAUGUUUGCAACAUAUAAUUAUUCAGUCAUGGGUGGUUGAUGUUUGGAAUAUAUGAUUAUUCAGUCAUGGUUGGUUGAUGCUUGGAACAUAUGAUUAUUCAAUCAUGAGUGGUGUUGUUUAUGUUGAGGGAGUACUAUGUGCAUUUCUGGCAUUAACUAUCGGGGAUUAUUUUCUUCUUUCAUCAUGGAGCACAUGGUAUUUGAAUUUGGAGUAUAUGAUAUCUGGCUUUGGAGACCCCGUUGCAUUGCAUUGCAUUGCACUGCACUACAUCACAUUACAUGGCAUUUGGAGUUAUGUCGCGAACCUAUGGUUGCGACCGUACUGGUACAACAUCGUUUAUUGGGCAUAACAAUGCAGCUUCAUACCUUGUUGGGUAUGAAGGCAGGAGUUCAUUUGCAUCCAUUUGCAUACAUCAUUGGUUUGGCAUAGUGAUACAGCUUCAUACCAUGAUGGGGUAUGAAGGCAGGAGUUCAUGUGCAUUGAUAUGCAUUUUAUAGCUUAAUGUUGGAUGUGAUGGAGAUAUGUUGUUACAUACAUAUAUUAUAGCCAAUGGUGACACACACUGCGAUGUGGCUUAUGAGAGUUGGAUAUACCAUAUGUGUGUCUCUUACAUUCACUUGCUUUAUUGCAUGGAUAUCUGGAUAAUGGUGGAUAUAGUUGCAAUGAAAAUAAUUUGAUAGUGAUACUUCUCCAUGGUGAUGAGCGUUUUGUAUGACUUAUGGGAUUGAGGAUAUAUUGCACGUGUUGUUUCCUAGCAUUCAUUUGCACCUUAAUUGGAUUACAAAUAUCAUUCUAUUUUUUAUUGGUUAUAUGAUCAGCACAUUGCUACUUUUAUUUCUAGUUGCUACGGAGACCUAUAUGUUAUAGUUGUGUUAAGGGUUGCUUACCAUCACUGUAUUUGGGUCUUACAUUUUUCAUUAUUAAUAGCUCGGUAUCAAAUAUUAUUAUUUUACCCUAGCUUGCUAUGCUUGGGUACAUCUCGCGAAUGGUGGAGCUAUCUUUUGAUACUUGAUGCUUUGUCAAAUCAUUAAUUAAUUUAUUGCAAUUUAAAUAGCUUGUUAAAGUAGUUCACUUGCUGAGAUUAUUCAAUCUCACCCUUGUUUAUCCCUUCCUAGGUUAUCCUUUGAAGCUAGCAUGAAGGGAAUGGGUUAGUUGCACACCAUACACUUCUAUAGGAUUUCAUAAUGAUUUGGUGCAUAAUUCUAAAUUUAUUAGAACUUAUAAUAACUUAAAUCAUAUUUGUACAUGAUGUAAGGUUGUCUUGUUGGAGCAUCACGCUUUCUAUAUACAUCUAUCUAUUGUUGCUUCCGCAUCGUGUUUGUUUAUAGGUUUUUGCUGCUGAAAUUUUAAUUUCCAGCAUUUGGUAGUGUAGAGUGUACCAUAUCAGGGUUGCGUGAUACUUGGGGUGUUACAACUUUAUUUGGCCUCACGAACACUCUAGAAUCAUGUAGUUCAAAAUCAAAGAGAACCCCACCAUUUGGUUUGCACUUUGCAGCACGGGAGCAACCAACCAGUCUAUCGUCAUUGAGACACAUCCUUUGCCAACUUAAAGAUUUGAGGGCUCACUUCUUGCAGUCUUCAUGCAAUUGUUGUAGCAAUUCUUCCUUUUUUUCUGUGUAUGUUUGGGGCCAGAAUUUUGGUGAUUGAUCUCUGAAGCACUUCAGAGUUCAGAGAGGUUCAGGAACAGUGUGUGUGCAAGUUCAGAACAACAGCAGAAAUCUAGAUAGGUUUGGCUAUUGAAUUUGCAGUUGUGACGCGAUGGAUUGCUGAAAUUCAUUGCAACUUUGACGAUU